rnacentral:tRNA from 1 species
GCCUGGGUGGCUCAGUCGGUUAAGCGUCCGACUUCGGCUCAGGUCAUGAUCUCGUGGUCCGUGGGUUCGAGCCCCGCAUCGGGCU